rnacentral:rRNA from 1 species
GACUAAUACCGGAUAGAUCAGAGAAACUGGAAUGUUCUCUGGUUUAAAACUCCGGUGCCCAAGGAUGGGUCUGCGGCCUAUCAGGUAGUAGUGGGUGUAACGUACCUACUAGCCAGCGACGGGUAAGGGUUGUGAGAGCAAGAUCCCUGAGAUGGAUUCUGAGACAUGAAUCCAGGCCCUACGGGGUGCAGCAGGCGCGAAAACUUUACACUGCGGGAAACCGCGAUAAGGGGACCCCGAGUGCCAGCACCUAGUGCUGGCUGUCCUACUGUCUAAAUAACAGUGGUUAGCAAGGGCCGGGCAAGACCGGUGCCAGCCGCCGCGGUAACACCGGCGGCCCGAGUGGUAACCGUUUUUAUUGGGUUUAAAGGGUCCGUAGCCGGCUUACUAAGUCUCUUGGGAAAUCUGGCGGCUCAAUCGUCAGGCGGCCAAGAGAUACUGGUAGGCUUGGGACCGGGAGAGGUGGGAGGUACUCCAGGGGUAGGGGUGAAAUCUCGUAAUCCUUGGGGGACCACCGAUGGCGAAGGCAUCCCACCAGAACGGGUCCGACGGUGAGGGACGAAAGCUGGGGGCACGAACCGGAUUAGAUACCCGGGUAGUCCCAGCUGUAAACGAUGCUCGCUA